rnacentral:snRNA from 1 species
GGUCGAGUUUCUCUUCAUUGUCGCAUAAAUCUUUCGCCUUUUACUAAAGAUUUCCAUGGAGGGGAACUUUUGCGAGUGAUCUGUAUUUUUGGGGGCUCUGCUCACAGCA